rnacentral:rRNA from 1 species
UUCGGAUCAUGGCUCAGAUUGAACGCUGGCGGGAUGCUUUACACAUGCAAGUCGAACGGCAGCACGGACUUCGGUCUGCGGCGAGUGGCGAACGGGUGAGUAAUGUAUCGGAACGUGCCUUGCAGCGGGGAUAACUACGCGAAAGCGUAGCUGGCCACUGCAUACGCCCUCGGGGGAAAGCGGGGACCUUCGGGCCUCGCACUAUUAGAGCGGGCCGAUAUCGGAUUAGCUAGUUGGUGCACUUUGGCUCACCAAGGCGACGAGAUCCGUGUAGCUGAAGCUCUGGAGAGGACGAACGCCGUCAGACUGAGACACGGCCCAGACUCCUACGGGAGGCAGCAGUGGGGAAUUUUGACAAUGGGGGAAACCCUGGAUCCAGCCAUCUCGCGUGUGGGCGAUGAAGGCCUUCGGGUUGUAAAGCACUUUUGGCAGGAAAGAAACGGCACUGACACCCCGCACCGACGGUACCUGCAGAACAAGACCACAACCACGCCGCCAGCAGCCGCGUAAUACGUAGGGUGCAAGCGUUAAUCGGAAUUACUGGGCGUAAACAGGCAGGCGGUUCUGGAAAGAAAGAUGAAAUCCCAGAGCUUAACUUUGGAACCGUGGCAUUUUUGACUACCGAGCGAGUGUGUCAGAGGAGGUGGAAUUCGCGUGUAGCAGUGAAAUGUGAUGCGAGGAACACCGAUGGCGAAGGCAGCCUCUGGGAUAACACUGAUGCUCAUACGAAAGUGGGGAGCAAACAGGAUUAGAUACCCUGGUAGUCCACGCCCUAAAUGAUGUCAAUUCAGCUGUUGGGGCUUCGGGCCUUGGUAGCGCAACGCGUGAAGUUGACCGCCUGGGGAGUACGGUCGCAAGAUUAAAACUCAAAGGAACGAUUGGGACCCGCACAAGCGGUGGAUGAUGUGGAUUAAUUGAUGCAACGCGAAAAACUCCACUCAUCUUGAUAUGUGUCUGAAUCCCGCAGAGAUUUGGGAGUGCUCGCAAGAGAAACCGAACACAGGUGCUGCAUGGCUGUCGUCAGCUCGUGUCGAGAUGUUGGUUAAGUCCCGCAACGAGCGCAACUCUUGUCAUGCUGCUACGAAAGGGCACUCUAAUGAGACUGGUUGUGACAAACCGGAGGAAGGUGGGGGAUGACGUCAAGUCCUCAUGGCCCUAUGGGUAGGGCUCACACGUCAUACAAUGGUCGGGACAGAGGUCGCCAACCCGCGAGGGGGAGCCAAUCCAGAAACCCAGAUCGUAGUCCGACUGCAGUCUGCAACUCGGACUGCGUGAAGUCGGAAUGUUGCACCGUGGAUCAGCAUGUCGCGGUGAAUACGUUCCCGGGUCUUGUACACACCGCCUGUCACACCAUGGGAGUGGGUUUUACCAGAAGUAGUUAGCCUAACCAAAAGGAGGGCGAUUACUACGGUAGGAUUCAUGACUGGGGUGAAGUCGUAACAAGGGC